AAACGUUCACUUUUAGGAAUCAUUUCUAUAGUUUGUUGUUAGAGAGAUGGUUUUGAAAGUGCUUGGUCUUGCUUGCCACAGGGAAGAGGUAGAAUGUUUUCUUCUGAGGAUGAAGCAGGUAGUUGAUUUUACUUGUAUAGUUUUCUACUGUUGAUGACUGUAUGUGUUAGCCUGUUUAGGAGUUAGCAUCAUGAGGAAAGCAUAAUCUGAGUGGU